rnacentral:rRNA from 1 species
CACGUGGGAAACCUGCCCAGAAGCGGGGGAUAACACCUGGAAACAGAUGCUAAUACCGCAUAACAACUUGGACCGCAUGGUCCGAGUUUGAAAGAUGGCUUCGGCUAUCACUUUUGGAUGGUCCCGCGGCGUAUUAGCUAGAUGGUGAGGUAACGGCUCACCAUGGCAAUGAUACGUAGCCGACCUGAGAGGGUAAUCGGCCACAUUGGGACUGAGACACGGCCCAAACUCCUACGGGAGGCAGCAGUAGGGAAUCUUCCACAAUGGACGAAAGUCUGAUGGAGCAACGCCGCGUGAGUGAAGAAGGGUUUCGGCUCGUAAAACUCUGUUGUUAAAGAAGAACAUAUCUGAGAGUAACUGUUCAGGUAUUGACGGUAUUUAACCAGAAAGCCACGGCUAACUACGUGCCAGCAGCCGCGGUAAUACGUAGGUGGCAAGCGUUGUCCGGAUUUAUUGGGCGUAAAGCGAGCGCAGGCGGUUUUUUAAGUCUGAUGUGAAAGCCUUCGGCUCAACCGAAGAAGUGCAUCGGAAACUGGGAAACUUGAGUGCAGAAGAGGACAGUGGAACUCCAUGUGUAGCGGUGAAAUGCGUAGAUAUAUGGAAGAACACCAGUGGCGAAGGCGGCUGUCUGGUCUGUAACUGACGCUGAGGCUCGAAAGUAUGGGUAGCAAACAGGAUUAGAUACCCUGGUAGUCCAUACCGUAAACGAUGAAUGCUAAGUGUUGGGAGGGUUUCCGCCCUUCAGUGCUGCAGCUAACGCAUUAAGCAUUCCGCCUGGGGGAGUACGGCCGCAAGGCUGAAACUCAAAGGAAUUGACGGGGGCCCGCACAAGCGGUGGAGCAUGUGGUUUAAUUCGAAGCUACGCGAAGAACCUUACCAGGUCUUGACAUACUAUGCAAAUCUAAGAGAUUAGACGUUCCCUUCGGGGACAUGGAUACAGGUGGGUGCAUGGUUGUCGUCAGCUCGUGUCCUGGAAAUGUUUGGGUUAAGUCCCGCAACCAAGCGCAACCCUUAUUAUCAAUUGCCAGCAUUAAAUUGGGCACUCUGGUGAGACUGCCGGUGACAAACCGAGGAAAGGUGGGGGGAGAACAUCAAAUAAUCCAUGGCCCCUUUUAACCUGGGGGUACAACCCGGCUUCAAUGGGAGG